AUACGGAGGGGGCAAGCGUUGUUCGGAAUUACUGGGCGUAAAGGGCGCGUAGGCGGAUUAUCAAGUCAGAGGUGAAAGCCCUGGGCUCAACCUGGGAACUGCCUUUGAAACUGAUAGUCUUGAGUCCGAGAGAGGAUGGCGGAAUUCCCAGUGUAGAGGUGAAAUUCGUAGAUAUUAGGAAGAACACCAGUGGCGAAGGCGGCCAUCUGGCUCGGUACUGACGCUGAGGCGCGAAAGCGUGGGGAGCAAACAGGAUUAGAAACCCCGGUAGUCC
rnacentral:rRNA from 1 species